GACGAACGCUGGCGGCGUGCCUAAUACAUGCAAGUUGAGCGAUGAAGAUUGGUGCUUGCACCAAUUUGAAGAGCAGCGAGCGGGUGAGUAACGCGUGGGGAAUCUGCCUUUGAGCGGGGGACAACAUUUGGAAACGAAUGCUAAUACCGCAUAACAACUUUAAACAUAAGUUUUAAGUUUGAAAGAUGCAAUUGCAUCACUCAAAGAUGAUCCCGCGUUGUAUUAGCUAGUUGGUGAGGUAAAGGCUCACCAAGGCGAUGAUACAUAGCCGACCUGAGAGGGUGAUCGGCCACAUUGGGACUGAGACACGGCCCAAACUCCUACGGGAGGCAGCAGUAGGGAAUCUUCGGCAAUGGACGAAAGUCUGACCGAGCAACGCCGCGUGAGUGAAGAAGGUUUUCGGAUCGUAAAACUCUGUUGGUAGAGAAGAACGUUGGUGAGAGUGGAAAGCUCAUCAAGUGACGGUAACUACCCAGAAAGGGACGGCUAACUACGU
rnacentral:rRNA from 1 species